rnacentral:tRNA from 1 species
GCCGCCUUAGCUCAGUUGGUAGAGCAACGCACUUGUAAUGCGUAGGUUUCCCCGGUUCGAGUCCGGGAGGCGGCUCCA